CGAGCUCCUAUCCCUACCUGCUGCCGCGGUGUUACAGAGUGGCCCCGCACUGCAACCCCUAGUGACGAGUGUGCUGGGGCGGU
rnacentral:SRP_RNA from 1 species